GUGCCAGCCGCCGCGGUAAUACGUAGGAGGCAAGCGUUGUCCGGAAUCACUGGGCGUAAAGCGCGUGUAGGUGGUGGGACAAGUCUGCUGUGAAAGCGCCUGGCUUAACCGGGCGAGGUCGGCGGAAACUGUUCGACUCGAGGACGGUAGAGGGGGGUGGAAUUCCCGGUGUAGUGGUGAAAUGCGUAGAGAUCGGGAGGAACACCUGUGGCGAAGGCGGCCCCCUGGGCCGGCCCUGACACUGAGACGCGAAGGCGUGGGGAGCGAACGGGAUUAGAUACCCCCGUAGUCC
rnacentral:rRNA from 1 species